CGGGGUGCUCGAGUGGCGAACGGGUGAGUAACACGUGGGUGAUCUGCCCUGCACUUUGGGAUAAGCCUGGGAAACUGGGUCUAAUACCGGAUAGGACCACGCGCUUCAUGGUGUGUGGUGGAAAGCUUUUGCGGUGUGGGAUGGGCCCGCGGCCUAUCAGCUUGUUGGUGGGGUAAUGGCCUACCAAGGCGACGACGGGUAGCCGGCCUGAGAGGGUGACCGGCCACACUGGGACUGAGAUACGGCCCAGACUCCUACGGGAGGCAGCAGUGGGGAAUAUUGCACAAUGGGCGCAAGCCUGAUGCAGCGACGCCGCGUGAGGGAUGACGGCCUUCGGGUUGUAAACCUCUUUCGCCAGGGACGAAGCGCAAGUGACGGUACCUGGAGAAGAAGGACCGGCCAACUACGUGCCAGCAGCCGCGGUAAUACGUAGGGUCCGAGCGUUGUCCGGAAUUACUGGGCGUAAAGAGCUCGUAGGUGGUUUGUCGCGUUGUUCGUGAAAACUCACAGCUUAACUGUGGGCGUGCGGGCGAUACGGGCAGACUGGAGUACUGCAGGGGAGACUGGAAUUCCUGGUGUAGCGGUGGAAUGCGCAGAUAUCAGGAGGAACACCGGUGGCGAAGGCGGGUCUCUGGGCAGUAACUGACGCUGAGGAGCGAAAGCGUGGGGAGCGAACAGGAUUAGAUACCCUGGUAGUCCACGCCGUAAACGGUGGGUACUAGGUGUGGGUUUCCUUCCUUGGGAUCCGUGCCGUAGCUAACGCAUUAAGUACCCCGCCUGGGGAGUACGGCCGCAAGGCUAA
rnacentral:rRNA from 1 species